rnacentral:rRNA from 1 species
GGGCGGUAUCCGGAUUUAUUGGGUUUAAAGGGAGCGCAGGCCGGGGAUUAAGCGUGACGUGAAAUGUGGCGGCUCAACCGCCGAACUGCGUCGCGAACUGGUUCCCUCGAGUGAGUACGACGUCAGCGGAAUUCGUGGUGUAGCGGUGAAAUGCUUAGAUAUCACGAAGAACCCCGAUUGCGAAGGCAGCUGACGAGUCCUUAACUGACGCUAAAGCUCGAAAGUGCGGGUAUCGAACAGGAUUAGAUACCCUGGUAGUCCGCACGGUAAACGAUGGAUGCCCGCUGUUGGCGACACACAGUCAGCGGCCAAGCGAAAGCGUUAAGCAUCCCACCUGGGGAGUACGCCGGCAACGGUGAAACUCAAAGGAAUUGACGGGGGCCCGCACAAGCGGAGGAACAUGUGGUUUAAUUCGAUGAUACGCGAGGAACCUUACCCGGGCUUGAACUGCAGGAGAACUCAUCAGAGAUGAUGAGGUCCUUCGGGACUCCUGUGGAGGUGCUGCAUGGUUGUCGUCAGCUCGUGCCGUGAGGUGUCGGCUUAAGUGCCAUAACGAGCGCAACCCCUCUCUUCAGUUGCCAUCAGGUUGGGCUGGGCACUCUGGAGACACUGCCACCGUAAGGUGUGAGGAAGGUGGGGAUGACGUCAAAUCAGCACGGCCCUUACGUCCGGGGGUACACACGUGUUACAAUGGUAGGUACAGAGAGCAGGCCGCCUGCAAAGUCGGCCGAAUCACGAAAGCCUACCUCAGUUCGGAUUGGGGUGUGCAACCCGACCCCAUGAAGCUGGAUUCGCUAGUAAUCGCGCAUCAGCCAUGGCGCGGUGAAUACGUUCCCGGGCCUUGUACACACCGCCCGUCAAGCCAUGAAAGCCGGGGGCGCCUGAAGUCCGUGACCGCGAGGGUCGGCCUAGGGUGAAACCGGUGAUUGGGGCUAAGUCGUAACAAGGUA